AUUGUUAGGGAGUGGUCAAGCCAGAGAU
rnacentral:piRNA from 1 species